GGGUUUCCUGCAGCCAAAGAGCCAUGAGUCACAGCAGCUGGCUCAAGGCUGGGAGGGGAAGUAAAACACUAAAUCUAAGGACCACUCUAUUCACCCUACAGUGACUGCUCUUUUUCCCUCCUGCCACAGUCCAGGGUAGGAGAUACUUCUCCAGGCUCUCACUUAUGGGGGCUUUCCUGCUGGCUACAUCACUGAAAUGGAAUCUCCUAGUGGCCCUUCUCCCUCUACAGCUCUGGUGUUACACUGAAAAACUAGAAGUUUCAAAACAGACAAGGGAAAAAGAGAAACAUCAGAAAGUCUGAUUAAAGUAGAAGCAUCAUAUUUCUAUCAACGUAUCCACUGUGCUUGGACUCUGUAAUAUUCACCGGCAGGAAAACCCAAGGGAAUGACUACUAUGACAUCUGAUGAGUCUCACGGUGUUGCCCAGGCUGAAUACAAUCGUGCAAUCAUGACUCUCUGCAGACUUGACAUCCUGGGCUCAUCAAGCAAUCCUCCUGCCUCAGCCUCCCGAAUAGCUGAGACUACAGGCACCCACCACCACAUCACACUCUACAAAAAAUUUCUGUUUUUUUGUAGAGAUGGGGUCUUGCUAUAUUGCCCAGGGUGGUCUCAAACUCCUGACUUCAAGUAAUCCUCCUGCCUUGGCCUCCCAAGGUGCUGGGAUUACAGGUGUGACCCACCACACCUGGCCAACUGCAGGGAUUCUUUAUUUGAAGAUCAUGGAUAGGUUUCAGGAAAUAUGUGAACACUCUGAAAUGUAUACCCUAGUUCUGUUUGUGUGAGUAUUAACUUUGAUCAGAUUUUCAGAGAGGUCUGUGACCAACUUCCUGCACUAAAAAAUGUUUACAAACCACUGCUCCACAGGAUAAAGUUCAAACCUCUCAGUCUAAAGGAAAUACAAAGCCAUUCAUGACACAGUUUUUACAUACACCAUCUUCAUUUUGGAUUUCUCAGCCCCAAUUGCUUGAACAUGUCUUGCCGUUUCUUAUCUCCUUGCCUUUGCUCAAGCUGUGUCCUCUGUCUUGAAGAUCCUCUUUUUCUCAUUCUUUCCAGGGAUCUCCCUCCCUUGGUUAAGUCCCAGUUAACUAGUAUAACUUCAUUCAAGAGUUUCUUCUUCCAGGAGCUUCCCAAUAUGAUUUGGCUGUGGGCCCCACCCAAAUCUCAUGUUGAAUUGUGAUCCCCAGAGUUGGAGGUAGACGUGGUGGGAGAUGGUUGGAUCAUGGGGGUGGUUUCUAAUGGUUUAACACUGUCUCCUAGUGUUGUUUUGUGACAGAGUUCUCACAAGAUCUUGUUGUUUGAAAGUGUGUAACACCUCCUACUUCGUGCACUUUCUCUUUUCCCUUCUUCACCAUGUGAAGAUGUGCCUGCUUCUCCUUCACCUUCUGCCAUAAUUGAAUGUUUCCUGAGGCCUCCCCAGCCAUGCUUCCUGUAUAGCCUGCAGAACGGUGAGCCAAUUAAACCCAUUUUCUUUAUAAAUUACCCAGUCUCAAGUAUUUCUUUAUAGCAAUGUGAGAAUGAACUAAUACACUUCCUCUGACCCUCUCCUCCACACCCAUGCUGGGGAGAUGUUCUUCCGUGGGAUCCCACAAUCGACAUCCAUCUGGCUCUCUAGAAUUGCACUGUUCAUGUAGUGCUCACAGAGAUGAAAGCUCUUUGAGAACAAGACCACACAUUAUCGCUUUCUUCCUCUCCUUUUCUCAAGCAGUGGUUCUUGGGGACUGCAGCAUCUCACCUUCAUAGAAACUCAACACUCAGACCUCACCCCAGACCUACUGAAUCAGAAACUCUGAGGUUGGGGCCAGUGAGCUGUGCUUUAACAAGCCCUGCAGGUGAUCCUGAUGCCCGCUGAAGCCUGGGAACCAUAGUCCUGAAAAAACGUCCCUGGCUCUUGUCUGUUCUGUUGUGAUAGCUCCUAACUGGGCUUCCUGCUUCCUCCUCUGUCACCUUCCAAUCUAUUCUUCAUCCUAGAGCCAGAAUUAUCUUUCUACAACAUGGAAGGAAGGGCCCUCCUCAAGAGCCUUCAGUGGCUUCCAUUUGCACCUAUAAUUAAAUCCUGAUCCCUCACCAUGACCUACAGGACCCUGUGUGACCUGGCCCUGCAUCUCUCCUAUGCUGACCCCCUACCACCAGGCACGAUGGUCUGCUUUCAGCUUCUGAGGUCAACCAUCCCUUCUUGCCUCAGGCCAUGUGCUGGGAUGGGGAGAGGAAUAUGGAAACAGAAGGUUCAAGAACCCACCAAUUCAAUCCCCAUAGAUCAACCUCUUGAAUACAGAGCAGAUGAGGAAAGGUAAUGUAUGGAUCUAGAGGGGCAAAUGAAAGGUAUUCUGCAUGGACCGUGAUAUAGUGUGGAUGUGUGUCCCUACCCAAAUUUCACGUUGAAAUGUAUCCCCUAUGUUGGAGGUGGGGCCUGGUUGGAGGUGACUGGAUCAUGGGGGUGGAUUUAUCAUAAAUGAUUUAGUACCAUACCCUUAGUUCUGUCCUCAUGAUAGUGAGUUUUCGCAUCUUGUGAGAGAUGUCAUUUAAAAGUGUGUGGCAUGCUCCCCACUCCCUCUCUUGCUCCUGUUCUGGCUAUGUGUUGUGCCUGCUCCCCCUUCACCUUCCACCAUGAUUGUAAGUUUCCUGAGGCCUCCCCAGAAGCCAAGUAGAUGCCAGCAUCAUACUCUCUUUACAGCCUAUGGAAUCGUGAACCAGUUAAACCUCUUUUCUGUAUAAAUUACCCAUCCACAGGCAUUUCUUUACAGCAAUGUGAGAAUGGCCUAAUAUGGACUGGAAGGAUAUGCAGACUUUUCCUGGAAAGCAGAGUUGAGGAAGGACAUCCCAUCGAGGGAAAGAAUGUGCAAUCUUUUUGUGUGGAACGCUCAGAACAUUCUAAGUACUUUGGCAUAGCAAAGGCAUAGGGAAUGAGAGACAGCAUGGUAGGAAAUAAAAAUGUGUUCAGAGAGUGGCAGGGGCUGGCUCAUGGACAGCUAAGGCAGGGAGCACUAUUCUGCAGGCACAGGGGACCAUGAAGGGCAGUUAAGUAUGGACUUCCUAUGACUGCAGAGUGGGUAACGAUUCGAGGAAAGGGAAGGGGUCUAGAGGCAGGGGUCUCCUUGGGAGGCACUGCAACCAUCCUACAGAGAUGAGGGUGAGGGUCGGAAGAAGCAGAAGCCUACCCUCUCUUAAGCAAGAUGAAGACAAACGAGACCCGUGGACUCCAUGGAGGCUGGAUCUACAUCACCAUAGUGCCAUUGCCUUCCUUCAAGGGCAAGUGAGGAACAGGUACAAGAACUAACAAUGAACAGAACAAAGGGGUGUGUGAUCCAGUCCUUGCUCUGUUCACUGAGCUCUGCCCAGCGGCUGGUUGCUUUCACACGAGGAAAACCUUUUUUUCUGCUCUCUUGGCACAAAUUGCUGGAGCUGAAUGUACCAGGGUGGGUGAAGGGGAGGAUGAGGUCAGAGAGGUAACAGGGCCAGGCAAGCCAUUGUCAGGAUUUUGGAUUUUACUGUGUACGGAAUGUGUUUGCCAGAACAAUGCGGGAGUUGCAGAGAGAGGUGUCCUGUGUUUGUUCCCAGUCUUCCUUCACUCACCUGCACCUGCUCCUGCCCUGCUUCGGCCAACAUGUUCUAUGCAGCUGCUCACUGAUGUCACUUAGAGGAAGGCAGGGGCACAAGAUGGGAGGACCCAGAGCUCCGGGUUCUUAAGCAUUAUAGUAUACAUAGCCUUGGAAUCAGAAGACCAAGAACAUACAAGAGAACAUAGCCUUGGAAUCAGAAGACCAAGAAACAAUUUAACUCUGCCCCUCUAGAGCUCUGAGAACUUGGGCAAGCCUUUUACCCUCUUGAAUUUUUGCCACCUUCAAUGAGAAAGACUGAAACAAAAAACUCAGAAGAAAGAAAGAGACUGAGAUAGCAAAUAUGACAAACUGUUAAAAAUUCAUGAAUCUGUUAUGGAAUACUAUGCAGCCAUAAAAAAGGAUGAGUUCCUGUCCUUUGCAAGGACGUGUAUGAAGCUGGAAACCAUCAUUCUGAGCAAACUAAAACAGGAACAGAAAACCAAACACCACAUGUUCUCACUCAUAAGUGGGAGUUGAACAAUGAGAACACAUGGACACGGCGGGGUGGUGGGAACAUCACACACCGGGGCCUGUCAGAGGGGAGGGGGCUAGGGGAGAGAUAGCAUUAGGAGAAAUACCUAAUGUAGAUGAUGGGUUGAUGGGUGCAGCAAACCACCAUGGCAUGUGUAUACCUAUGUAACAAACCUGCAUGUUCUGCACAUGUAUCCCAGAACUUAAAGUAUAAUAAUAAAAAGAGAGAUUAAAAAAAUUGGUGAAUCUGGGCAAAAUGUACACAGGAUUUUUCUGUACUGUUCUUGCAACUUUUCUACAGAUUUGAAAUGUUACAAAAUAAAAGGUAUUUUUAGAAAAAGAG
rnacentral:lncRNA from 10 species